rnacentral:rRNA from 1 species
AGUUUGAUCCUGGCUCAGAUUGAACGCUGGCGGCAUGCCUUACACAUGCAAGUCGAACGGCAGCACGGAGCUUGCUCUGGUGGCGAGUGGCGAACGGGUGAGUAAUAUAUCGGAACGUACCCUAGAGUGGGGGAUAACGUAGCGAAAGUUACGCUAAUACCGCAUACGAUCUAAGGAUGAAAGUGGGGGAUCGCAAGACCUCAUGCUCGUGGAGCGGCCGAUAUCUGAUUAGCUAGUUGGUAGGGUAAAAGCCUACCAAGGCAUCGAUCAGUAGCUGGUCUGAGAGGACGACCAGCCACACUGGAACUGAGACACGGUCCAGACUCCUACGGGAGGCAGCAGUGGGGAAUUUUGGACAAUGGGCGAAAGCCUGACCCAGCAAUGCCGCGUGAGUGAAGAAGGCCUUCGGGUUGUAAAGCUCUUUUGUCAGGGAAGAAACGGUGAAAGCUAAUAUCUUUUGCUAAUGACGGUACCUGAAGAAUAAGCACCGGCUAACUACGUGCCAGCAGCCGCGGUAAUACGUAGGGUGCAAGCGUUAAUCGGAAUUACUGGGCGUAAAGCGUGCGCAGGCGGUUUUGUAAGUCUGAUGUGAAAUCCCCGGGCUCAACCUGGGAAUUGCAUUGGAGACUGCAAGGCUAGAAUCUGGCAGAGGGGGGUAGAAUUCCACGUGUAGCAGUGAAAUGCGUAG